AUGAGUGGCCUAAAUACUCUAGAAGCAUCAGAUCCCUUCUGAUCUUGGAAGUUAGGCAGGUUCAAUCCUGGUGGGUAGUAAAUCUGCUUGCAUAGAAGAUCAUUAGGGAAUACCAGGCACUGUAGAUU
rnacentral:rRNA from 11 species